GACUAUUAUUACACAUGUAACUAGUCCUUAUAGUAAUGUUUCAGCCUAGAGGCAUACUAUACUGCCUGUCCUCUGGAUAUAUUACCGAGAUUCCAUGGAAAGGCAGUGGGAGGGUCCUUUCACUUUAUGUAAAAGAAUUCAGUUUCUGAAGGUUUUUCCCAAGGCACCAGGAAAAAAAGGAUCUUGGAGAGAUCUAAUUCUGCAAUCUUGGAACGACCCUCUCCCCCCUGAGCCAUCGCUGGGGUAUGAAUCCAUGUCCUUAAGCACCGAAGCACAGACCUCUACCGCUUGAGCGAUGGGGCAACUCCAUUAGCUGGCAGCAGUAGUAGCUGCAAGAGGAAAGACAGUGCCAAAGAACAUUUCUGAGGAGCAGCCCCUUUCCAGCUCCUCUAUAGCAAGCAGCCCUCUAUCUAGCCGCUGGUGUAGAGGAACCAGGGAGGACUUGACAUUAGCAGGAAGGCAGUCGCCCGAAACCUUGUUUGCGGCGAUGUUCCCUGGGUACCCGACAUCGGAGAAGAAGAAUAGAAGCAGAUCUUCUGUCUUCCUGCAGAGUAUUGAUUUUGU